rnacentral:piRNA from 1 species
UAGAAACUUCUGCUGUGAUGGCUGUUC